CAAAAGACUGAUGGUAGAUGAUUCUGGAGGUCAUUUCAGAAAUGCCAAGAAAUUGAAACAGUUUCAAAUGUCAAGACUCGUUGACAGAAACAUAGUCCACAUAAAGAUAAUCAUAAUUGCCUAAUGAACAACAAACUGAAAACUUUAUAUAGAGAUGAACAAGGACAAAAGACCAUAGGCUAAAAGGUUACAGCUAAAUGGUUCCCUACAAGGCUACACUAACAUACAUCACAGCAGUUUGGCAAAUUUUCUUUUUCCCUGAGUUGACAAUUUAGUCAAUCUAUGGUUAUGUUCCAUGAUAACCACCUAUUAUAAUACAAGUAGAAAUAGACAAAAAAAAAAAUAGUAAUAACAACUCACUUAUGAAAAAAGUAUCAGAAGCAUUUCCGAUGAACAACAGAUGGUCCAGCUUCAUCAUAAUCCCCCUUGGUAACAUGCUGAUUUUGAGGGAACACAACUUUUGCAAGAAUGGCACCUCCCACCCAUGCUGAAUACUGUGUCAACUCGGCUGGCAUAUAUUCUGGGGGCUUUACAAGUGAUGGACGAAUAGCUGAUGAGCACAGGCUAGCUUCUUUCUGGAACCUAUCUUCAAAACCAGGCAUAGAAGUUAUGCUGCCACAAAGUACAGUAUUUUCCAACAGUUGCCGAUGGUUCUCAGAAGAAACUGUAGAAAUGCUACGAACAAGCUGCUCAACAAUUCCAUGUGCCUCUAAACCCAAUAUUGCUGGUUGGAACAAAGCCUCACCAACAGUAUAUCUUUCUCUUCCAACUUUUAUCACCUGUCCAUCAGGAAGGGUAUGCUCCUCAUACUCGCUUGACUGUUGGGUCUUCUCAUAAGCAAGCUCAUCUUCAGCACAAGAAGAGUAUUUUUCUUUUAUUAUCUCAACAUCAGAGACAUUGAGAUUCACCAAAGGAUUAGAUUUACCCAGUUCUUGGGCUAGUAACUUAGUCAAAUCAAUACCGCCAAUUUCAAAUCUUCUUGAGGCAAUAUGCUGAACUGCACCUUCAAUUACUGAUGCAAUAUCUAUCUUCCCAUGACCAAUAUCAACUGUGCAUCCAGAUAUACGUCCAACAGCAUAAAGGGACAAAACUGCCUGCUCUGAUGCAUAAAACCCCGUGACAUUAAAUGUUUCAAACAUCAAUUGCACCAAUUGUUCCCUGACAGACUUGGGGGUACAAAGUGGAUCAGUAAACAAAAUUUGUCCUUCAUUUCCCUCUUCCCAUUCAAGGCCGGUGUACAGAACAUAGUGCAGCAAAUCUUCCAUAGCAUCCCAGUCUCUUAUAAAACCCCGAACAACUGGAUCAACAUUGACAUCCUCAAAUAAUGAACCAUCAGUUGAUGAACCAUCUUCAAGCAUGCGUUUCAUUUGGGUAGGAAUAAUAAUGGGUGGAGCCUGAUCUGGAACUGCAGUUCCCGCUUUAAGGAGCUUGGAUCCAGCGUCUAUCACUGCCGCCUCCAUUUCUGAUGCUUAAAUUCAAAACCCCAAAAACCCUAGCUUUCAACCUAAAGAUAAAUGGUGUACAUACAAAAACGUAGGUAUCAGUAUGCAAACCCCUGGAUUCAGAAUUCUAGGGUUUUAGAGAGUAUCUCCUGAAGUUUUCAAGGCAAUAACUGGAAGAAACUAGUGCGAAGUGAAAAGCUUCAUAGAAAUAGUUCUGUAGAGUCUCUCUCAGUCUCAGAGCUUAGACUCAGUUAGCGGGUCGCAGUGCGAUUUGAAACUCUUCUGGGUUCGCGUUUAAAGUUUU
rnacentral:misc_RNA from 1 species